rnacentral:rRNA from 1 species
GUAGUUAGCCGGGGCUUUCUAAUGGGGUACCGUCAUUUUUUCGUCCCCCACAACAGAGGUUUACAAUCCGAAAACCUUCUUCCCUCACGCGGCGUUGCUGGGUCAGGCUUGCGCCCAUUGCCCAAUAUUCCCCACUGCUGCCUCCCGUAGGAGUCUGGACCGUGUCUCAGUUCCAGUGUGGCCGAUCAGCCUCUCAGCUCGGCUACCCAUCGCAGGCUUGGUGGGCUGUUAUCUCACCAACUACCUAAUGGGACGCGAACCCCUCCUUCAGCGGAUUGCUCCUUUGACCUCAUCCCGAUGCCGGGUCGUGGUCUUAUGCGGUAUUAGCACUUGUUUCCAGGUGUUAUCCCCCUCUGAAGGUCAGGUUGUUCACGCGUUACUCACCCGUUCGCCACUAAAAUUUAUCUUCCAUCCGAAAACUUCUGAUAAAUCUCCGUUCGACUUGCAUGUGUUAGGCACGCCGCCAGCGUUCGUCCUCGAGCCACUAAUACAAACUACUGA